rnacentral:rRNA from 1 species
UCGAGCGAUAAGCACCUUUCGGGGUGUGGACAGCGGCGGACGGGUGAGUAUCGCGUGGGAACCUACCUAUCAGUACGGAACAACAGUUAGAAAUGACUGCUAAUACCGUGUACGCCCUUUUGGGGAAAGAUUCAUCGCUGAUAGAUGGGCCCGCGUUAGAUUAGCUAGAUGGUGAGGUAAUGGCUCACCAUGGCGACGAUCUAUAGCUGGUUUGAGAGGAUGGCCAGCCACACUGGGACUGAGACACGGCCCAGACUCC